rnacentral:rRNA from 1 species
CUACUAGUUGUCGGGUUUUAAUUAACUUGGUAACGCAGCUAACGCGUGAAGUAGACCGCCUGGGGAGUACGGUCGCAAGAUUAAAACUCAAAGGAAUUGACGGGGACCCGCACAAGCGGUGGAUGAUGUGGAUUAAUUCGAUGCAACGCGAAAAACCUUACCUACCCUUGACAUGUACGGAAGCCACGAGAGAUCGAGGUGUGCUCGAAAGAGAACCGUAACACAGGUGCUGCAUGGCUGUCGUCAGCUCGUGUCGUGAGAUGUUGGGUUAAGUCCCGCAACGAGCGCAACCCUUGUCAUUAGUUGCUACGCAAGAGCACUCUAAUGAGACUGCCGGUGACAAACCGGAGGAAGGUGGGGAUGACGUCAAGUCCUCAUGGCCCUUAUGGGUAGGGCUUCACACGUCAUACAAUGGUACAUACAGAGGGCCGCCAACCCGCGAGGGGGAGCUAAUCCCAGAAAGUGUAUCGUAGUCCGGAUCGCAGUCUGCAACUCGACUGCGUGAAGUUGGAAUCGCUAGUAAUCGCGGAUCAGCAUGUCGCGGUGAAUACGUUCCCGGGUCUUGUACACACCGCCCGUCACACCAUGGGAGCGGGUUUUACCAGAAGUAGGUAGCUUAACCGCAAGGAGGGCGCUUACCACGGUAGGAUUCGUGACUGGGGUGAAGUCGUAACAAGGUAGCCCUAUCGGAAGGUGC